AAAGUCGUAACAAGGUUUCCGUAGGUGAACCUGCGGAAGGAUCAUUACCGAGCUCCUGCCCUCCGGGUAGAGACGCCACCCUUGUGUAUUAGACCGAUGUUGCUUUGGCGGGCCCGCCCGCCAGAGACCCCAAACCCUAAGUGUCAGUGUCGUCAGAGUACUAUUCAAUAGUUAAAACUUUCAACAACGGAUCUCUUGGUUCUG
rnacentral:misc_RNA from 1 species